rnacentral:rRNA from 1 species
UACGUAGGGUGCGAGCGUUGUCCGGAAUUAUUGGGCGUAAAGAGCUCGUAGGCGGUCUGUCGCGUCGAUCGUGAAAACUUGGGGCUUAACCCUGAGCUUGCGGUCGAUACGGGCAUGACUGGAGUUCGGCAGGGGAGACUGGAAUUCCUGGUGUAGCGGUGAAAUGCGCAGAUAUCAGGAGGAACACCGGUGGCGAAGGCGGGUCUCUGGGCUGACACUGACGCUCAUGCACGAAAGCGUGGGGAGCAAACAGG